AAAAAUUAGUAGCAUUAGCUUAAAUAUUCAUAAUAAAACCAAGAAACCUUUGAAACAAGUUGUCAAAAGAUAUAGUAGCAACAAUUCAGAGUUAAAACUCUAUUAUUUUUCCAAAAUGUUGCUGUACAACUUCAGGGGAAAAAAUAAUGUGCUGCAAAAUCUUAGGUAUAUGCAUAAUUUUUUAAAUACUCUUAGUUCUUGCCUGAUUAUAAUUAUUCAUGUACAUGGGAAAUUGUAAGGUGAUGAAUGUCAAUAUGUACAGUAAAAAUAACUUUUAACUACAUGCAUAUGGCAAGGAAGGACUGUUGCUAAUCUUUUUGUAACAGCUUAAAUGAUCAUAAUUCUUACUUUUGUUGAUAGCUUUUUCCUGCUUAACUGUUGAAAACAUUUUCAUACGGUGUGGUGGCCUUUCUCCAGGUUUACAGAAUAUUGUUUUCUUGUUUCAAGAGGGAAAAUUUACAUUAACUUUCAUAUAUAGUAAUUGACAUUUAUAGUCCAUGUGGGAUUGAUUACUUUACCACAUGAGAAAGCUGCAGCCUUAAAAUAUACAGAACAUGAGACAAUAUCAUCAUGUUCCAACACAUUAUUUCCUCUGUACUAUUAAACGGUCCACUGCUGGUCAGUUUCAAUAUUCUUGAUACCUGAAGUUUUUACUAUGAGAACAUACAUUAUGUCUUAAUGCACAGUCAUUUCUGAAUGUCCAUCAACAUUGUAUGUAUUGCUGUGUUGUUGUUUCACCUGUGUAAGUCUCACUGUGAAAUUUUGCCCUAAACUCUAGCAAAGAUAUUGACAGCAAAAAUAUUAUGAAAAAUGAAUUUUAAAGGUUUGUAAUUUUGGUCUGAACAAGUAUAUGACAUUUAUGAAAAAUUCUGAGCUGCUUUUCCCAACCAAAAUUAUGUUUGAAAUUAGCCAGAUUAUUUUUCUGGAAACCAAGAAAAGUUGAAUUGGGAUUUUUUGCAAUAUUUUGGCUCUUAGCAUUGCACAAACUUUUGUUAUUUCCAGAAGCAUGAAAGUAAAGCUGUAUAGCAUGCAUCAAAAAUUGUAAAAUCAACACAAGAAUACUUUUUUUUUAAAAUUUUUAAUGUGAGAACCUCCAUUAGCAUUACCUUAAAAGUUUUCAUUUUCUUUAUUAUAAAAAUUAUGGCAAUUCAGCUCACAACUUUUGGGUCAAAACUAUACCUUAAAUUCUGUUGCAGUUUGAGGACAAAACCUGAAACAGACUUUAACUGUGAUUCUCAGGAGGAACAUUCUUUAAGCAGUGAACGGAGCACCAGCCUCAAUGAAGCAUAAGAUUUCCCCCAUCUGUUCUCUGACUGUAUAUGCAUUUCCCUUGUGAGUGUGUGUGUGUGUCCCAGUCUCCUUCCACCCCCAAAAUUCUGACAUUAAAAUUGAAGUAGCCUUCAUCUUAACAACAACUUCUAGCAAUAACCUGUUUUAUUUGUUCUUUGAAAAUUGAAAGGAAUCAGAUAACAAAAUUAUAGAAAAUAGUUAACUGAAGUUUCACAUUGUCAUGUUAGAAACACAAAUAUUUGAAAUGUGAUGACAGAGAAGGUCACAGCCACACUAUUAAAUACAGGGCCAUCGAAGGCGGAGUGAGAAAGACACUUGCUGCAGGAUGCCCUCUAAGUGGGUGCAGCGUAGAAGGAGGUGUCUUCAGGCCCUAUCAGAUACUGCCCUUGCCCUUCCUGCUAGCUGGGAGAAGUUGGACACUCACAGUGUUUGGAUACCUGGUGGAGAGAAAGUGUUGGAGGAGUCCACAGAGGAAAAGGGUACUAAAAUAUCUCAGCACUGUCAAUAUGCCAUUCAUCCUUACUUAGGACAGCUGUAAAACUGACUGAUGGGCUGCCUGAAUAAUAUUUCUGUACAAUUGUUUGUUCUUUACUUGUCAUAAACUUUAUUAAAUCCUAAAGCUUUGAUCUUGGACAUAAUUUUUCUUCUAUUAACCUCAAAAAUAUCUCAGAAAGAUUGGUAAGCAUUAUUAUCUUUUAUACACAAAAAAAUCACAUAUCAAGUUUAAGGAUGUACAGGUUCUGUUUAGGGCGAGAGAGAGAGGUGAGGAAGUUGCUUUUUGCAGUUACCAGAAAGCUGUUACUCCCCACCUGCAGGUGACCAUUAGCAUGGGAAGCAAAGGAUCACUUACUCUUUUUUCUGAGUUAACUUUAAAUCUGUCUUGGAGCAAAGAAGCACACUACACUACGUAAUUAAAUGAAUUCUAAGUCAUUGAAAACAUAUGUUACAAAGGUGUUAAACAUGACUGCAAAAAAAGCUUCAUCUGAGUUAUAUUUCUGUGUUCAGAUUCUUCUUCCAAAGAGUUAAUGAAGCUACACAGCUCCUUUAACCCUGCUGAAAGUCAUUGAUCUGAUCUGGCUUACCUGCAAGUUCACACAAAGGAGAUAGCUGGACAACAGCUGUUUUAUUAACAGCAGAGGACGGUUGGUUGCAGAAGAAAGGUGGAAGGUAGGAAUUUGAACUAUUUUCUACAAGGAAAACUUUGCCAGAUUAUUUUCAACUGAUUCUAGCAAACCCCAGGGACACUGACAUGGGUGAGACAACUCGUGCAAUUCAGUAUGUUAUUCCAAGAAUGUAGUGUCAAUCCCCUGCUAGACACAGCCAAGUGGGUGAACAGUGAAGUCAUUAAAAAGGGAAAGAGCUUUGGAUAAUAAUUUAAAAAAAGGCUCAGGUGAGUUCAAAAGAGUUGCAUCCUUCACUGGUGUAGAUUUUCACACUCUGGCACACAGAGGCUUCCUAGGAUGAGCAGCUGAAAAAUCAAGUCUUAGUGAAGAAUGAAACCUUAGUGGCAACAUCUAUCGUACUAUGUGAGCUGAGAAUAGCAGUUUCUGAAACCAUUAAAAAAUAGCUGCAUGCCAGGACACUUUGGUAGAAGAAAUGCUAUGAUAAGACUGUGCCCCCACCAUGGCUUCCCCUCAUCCUGCCCAUAGUCCAGGGCUCUAUGUCUGCCCCAGAGAACAUCAGCCCCUGCCCGAGCAAUGUUGUUUCAUUGUGCAAGAUAUUCAAGAAAUGUACCCAUCCUGCCUUCAGCUAAUAAACAUACCUGUUUGAGUGUUUAACAAGCACACCAGGCAAAAAAAUACUAGCUUAUUAAUUUUGCAACAAUGGAUACUGAUAUUUAUGAAGUAGACAAAUUAUUGCUUUUUUUUUCAUCUUUAAUUUGCAUGUCCUGUCUUAAAUUUAGAUAAAAUUACUGCAUGUCAUAUAGUUCAACCUGCUACUCAAAGCAGGGUUAGAUGAAAAUUGGAUCCAUCUGUGCUCGACCUUGUCUAGCCGAGUUUUGAAAGUCUCUAAGGUUGGAGAUUUCACAAUCCUUUUGAUGAUCUUAUUUCAGUGUUUAACCCUCUCAUUGUAAGAUUUCUUUUUUUAAAGUAAUGCAGUUUCAAAAUGUAAUGAUUUCAAAAGGUAAUGAAAAAGAAAACUGGGAAAAAACGGGAAAAAUUAUUAAUUAAAACAAGUAUUUCAAUUAUACGUUUUCUCACUGUUCAUUUUUGAAUGAAAGGAAAAC